CUUGUUCCGCGGAGGGUGGGGCGGUCUCUGCUUGCGCAUGCGCAAUGCCAGCCAGUGCCUGCGCGGCUUGCUCCAGCAAGGUAAAAUUUCCCACUGCGAGGCAGGCAGUGAUGCUGCGGCCGCUUCGCACUGUGGCUCCUGCCGACCGCCAGGCGCUGUUACAGUGGAUGCGAACUAACCGUAAGUCAUUAUAUCGUACUGCAGAAACCAGCUCAACUAUGCAAAACUACCACCAGGACUGGCCGACACCAGGAGGGAUUCCAGAGACCACACUGCAGGGAGCAUACAGAAAGAAAAUUAAGAGAUCAGAUGCAGCAGCAGCCGGAACCCACAGUUCACCUUGGUGCAUUCCUUUAUGAUGAAGACUUAUUGAUUCAUUAUAUGAGAAAGGAAAAAUGAGCAGAAACUACUGUAUGAUGUGCAGCUCACACCAGACAGCAACUUUAGGGUUAUCUUUCCAGUUCAGCAGUGCAACUCUAUGGAGUAGAAUUGAAAGGAGACUUUUCGCCAAUUGCAGGAAAUGGUCAUAAAAAAAUACCUGCUCACUGACAGAAUAAAGGUGCUUCAUGCAGACAUCUGUACACCAGAUUUACUUCUGCAAAAUGCUGAUGCUAUGAAUAAUGCUUUUGAAUAUUAAUAAGGCAAAACAGACCAGAAAAAAAAAAUUGUAUUUGAAGCUUCUUUGCAAAGAAAUGAGUGAAUGCAACUUCCUUAAAACCUACCUGCAUUCUGACAACAUGGGACCCACAAUUUAUGGGAUAAAAUGAAGCUUGAAAAUUACUUUAGGUUGAUGUUGAGAAGUUGGAACCCUCCUACAUUGCUGUCUCACUCUGUCACCUGGCUGGAGUUUAGUGACACG
rnacentral:lncRNA from 1 species